UACGGAGGAUGCGAGCGUUAUCCGGAUUUAUUGGGUUUAAAGGGUGCGUAGGCGGCUUAGUAAGUCAGCGGUGAAAUUUUGCAGCUUAACUGUAACAGUGCCGUUGAUACUGCCAGGCUGGGAUUUGGUUGCUGUGGGUGGAAUGUGUGGUGUAGCGGUGAAAUGCUUAGAUAUCACACAGAAUAUCGAUUGCGAAGGCAGCUCACAAAGCCAAGAUUGACGCUGAGGCACGAAAGUGUGGGGAGUCAAACAGGA
rnacentral:rRNA from 1 species